AGAACUUGAUGUGCACCUGGUGACUCAUUCGUCUUGUGGCUGCCUCUGGAUUCGUGAGUUUGGUGCCUAGAAAGAAAUAACCAACAAAUCAAAGUCUAUUUCUUUGAUGCACAUGUUGGCACCCUUUGAAAGAUCCAGAAAUCCACAUAUUGAACAUGAAUCUAGGGCUGCGGUUGCUGCAAAGUGUACAGUGUUUUACAGAACACACAAAACAGGAGCAGGUGUGAGAAUCUGGCAGUUUUAAGUCAGAAAUUAAACGGAUGUGCAAAGAUGUAAAACAAUGUCAUAUUCUAG